rnacentral:rRNA from 1 species
CAGCAGCCGCGGUAAUACGAAGGGUGCAAGCGUUAAUCGGAAUUACUGGGCGUAAAGCGUGCGUAGGCGGUUUGUUAAGUCUGUUGUGAAAUCCCCGGGCUCAACCUGGGAAUGGCAAUGGAUACUGGCAAGCUAGAGUGUGUCAGAGGAUGGUGGAAUUCCCGGUGUAGCGGUGAAAUGCGUAGAGAUCGGGAGGAACAUCAGUGGCGAAGGCGGCCAUCUGGGCCAACACUGACGCUCAUGCACGAAAGCGUGGGGAGCAAACAGGAUUAGAUACCCGUGUAGUCCCUGUCUCUUAUAC